AUUUUUCUCCUAUAGACCUCAGAUCAGCAGACUUACUGCUUACAACAACAACUCAUCAGACCCACUGAGAACCCACCUUCAUCAAUUUUGGACUCAAACUUUGUAAAAUAAUCCCUACAGAUCUGUAGAAUGAAACAUCAGUUAAGAUUUUGUAAUUGAUUGGUUAAACUCUAUAUUCAAAAUGAUCUUUUAUUUGCCCACAUUAUGAACAA